CUCAUCUGCAUACUGGUCGCUCCUCUGGCCUCCCAUUGGCUGAAGAGGCGCGUUACGUCAUUGUUUUUUCAAACCUCACUCCAAAUAAGGGUUUCCGCGUGUUAGACCGAGCGCACUGUAAGAAAUGGAACUUUUAAGAUAAAAACAACACUUAAUGAGAUGAACACGUGUGACUGCUGGAGGUGCAAACACGCUUUAAACAUGUUAACAGUGGCUGCUGGUGUUCAUGUUUCUUGGUUGAGUUGUGGUGCCACAUCAAAUCAAUUUCAUCAAACAUCCUGGUGUGAUUUGAUGCAAAAAAAGUGAAGGCCUGCGCACUGACUCCUCAUCCAUCUCAGUGGAGACGAGACUGUACUACUGAAGCUCGGAUCUGUAUUCACUUCCUCCAACCUCACAGACUUCCUUCAGAUUUCGGAGGAUUAACUGGUUUCAUGCCCGCUGCUUCUCUCCAGGGAACAAGAAACGUCUGGAAAGCCUGGAAACAGAUCUCUGAGCGGGAGAGAAGAAGUCAAUGAGACGCUAAGAACAUGCUGGCGAUGAAGAGGAGGAUGAGGAAGAAGGAGAAGAAGAAGGAGAAGAUGGUCCGGAUUAGAAACCGGUCCGCUCCGGAACGAGAAUUAAUAUUAUAAAUGUGAUUUUAAUUAUUACUAUAAUAAUAAUGUGUCUUCAGUAAUUAUCCUUC